CAAGGAUAGGCAGCUUUCAUUGUAACCAAAAACAAAAACAGAAAAAAGAAGAAGGGUGCCUGACCAGGUGAACCUGACAACACAAUGACCACAGCAUUGGAGAGCCAAUUGGAUAAAACAAUAAUUACAGUCUGAUGUAUUUCCUGACUCAUUGGAAACUAAUUUGUAUGAAAAUGAUUCGUCAAAUGCUGAACUGAAAACACUCUUUCCUGCUUGUUUCUAGAUAUUUGAAAAAGACCCUUUUGUGAUCCACUUGCUACGUGAAUGGAAGCUUGAAAGAAUUGCUGCUAUGACCACCCAAGCUUCUUUCAAAUUUCUGAGGACAAGCCUUCCUGUGUAAUUCGGUGUUUGAUAUUCAGAUUGUUCUAUUCCUACAAGACAACACUUUGAUCGCUUCCAGAAAAACUGCAUACUAUGGAGACUGAAGAGUGAACUGCCCUUAUGUUAAGUGAGGGAGAACUUCUGUUUGUCUCCAACCCAGAACUGCUCUAAGAGUUAGAACUGAGGCUUUCUUCCUGGAUUCCCCAAACUCAUACAAUAACCCCAGGACAUCUAAAGAACUUGGCAUUUCCUGCUCACCAGUGACAGGUCCUAAUCCAUGUGAGUGGGAUGCACCACAGAGGAUAAAGCAAACAGAGUCCCUGGCAGCAUGAAGAUUAAAGACCAAAAGUGAGGAACUACUGAAAGCAGAUAUAUUACUAAACACAUAAUAUGAAUUACAAUUUAGUAAACUUAGAGAUAGAUAUUAUACAUGGAUUUAGUUAUUUUCCAUCUUUUAAUUUCUUCAUUAUAAUGAUAUCACCACAAUAUGGGUUUUCAUGAUAGACGUUAUAUCGUUAAUACUAAAUGUUUUUAUAUAGGGUAUCUUUGAGAAGGUACCAAUAUAAACAUCUACAUUUGCGUUUUCACAUUUAUCAUUCAUGAUUAUUUUUAAUAAUUGUAGCAGAAGAUUAAUACUGUUCUUCAGCAUGUCAAUUAAACAUGCUAAGGCAAAUUCCAAAACAAUUCAUUACAUGCUGGGCCUACUUAUCUGAAUAACCAAUGCAGACUGCUGAAAAACAAGAGAAAAUAAGUAGCCUAUAAUAUAUAUUCCAAACCAUCUUUUAUUUUGGAAUUCAUUAACUUGACAGAUAUUAUGUCUAGAAACAUGGGAGCUCUUUGUUACAGAUAAUUUAUUCAUACAAUUUAACUGAUUCAAAGUGCAGUAUGGUGUUUCCCUUGAUACUAAAAAUUUUAAUGAUCAAAUAUGAGAAUGGGAGAAAAAAGGCAUUUUAUUCUUAAAAUAACUUUUAUAUUAAACUCUCCCAAAACACCUUUUAAAAGAAAAAGCAAUUAACAAAUGAACUGACCUAAUUUUAUAAGCCAUCUAAACUACAUCUCUUUUCUUUUGUUAAU